UUCUAUUUCAAGGAAUCACUUUUAUUGUGACUUUGGGACCCCGUUUUGCCAGUUCCUGGUCCUCCUACACUUCUCUCAAACAACAUUCAGCCCCCCUUUAGAUACUGAAAGGCUGCUACCAGGUCACCUCAGAACCUUCUCAUCUCCAGGCUCAACAGCCCCAGCUCUCUUAGCCUGUCCUCAUAGUGAAUAUGUUCCAACCCUUGGAUCAUUUCUGUGGCCCUCCUCUGGAUACUCUUCAACAGAUUCAUGUCUCUCCUGAACUGAGGACUCCACAUCUGGGCCCUGUUCUCCAGAAUAAAUCCAGGAAGCAGAGUUCUAACAAAGAGGGAGAGCCUUGCAGAAAUGCAUGACUGGAAGGGAUGAUGAGGAAAUACUGGUUUGCAAAAAACAGAAAAGUGGGACUUAUAGUGUAAUGAAUGCUUGAGGUACAGAAAGGUUCUAAUAUGGAUCUUAGCACUGCAUUGAGAUCAACGAGAUGAACGUCACGAUUCUGAGUGCUCCUAUAGUAAAAGACAGUCAAAAGGAAGAUAAUUAAAGUGCAAUAGAAAUACUUGUGGAAUAAAAAGGUUUAAAGAAUAUACUACGUUUCCGGAGAAGGCAGGCAUCAGAUGAUCAGAUCUACUUAUGAAACAGAGAUAGCUUUUCCCACUGAGAGCUUUGAGCUUUUGUCAGAAAAUCAAAUAACAUGGAUAAAAAAGCUCACAGCUGAAUGGUAGUGCUUUUCCAACCAAAAUAAUGAUAUAUAUGUUUUUAUUAAUUUAUUUUUAAGAAAUAAAAUCAAUCCCCAAACACUUUAACUUAGGUUGAAACAUGACUUUCAUGUAGGAAGAAUGUUUAAUUCGUUGUAUGCUGAAAUCCAAAGGAAUGCAGAUGACAACUAUGCCAGAAAAAUCACAUCCUGAAUGGCUAUGACAAGCUACCUGGUUCUCAGAAACUUUUAUUUGCAAAAGAGGAACACAGAGCUGGUCAUGACGACAAUGAAGUUUCUGUUCCCAGCUGGCUUCCCACUACAAUCUCAGGGAGGGCUGAAUUCCUGGUGUCUGGCUAAUGAGAAUAACCUCCCAAGUAAUGACACCUGCAGCGCACAAAAAUCCCUCAGGUGGCAAAUGAUGACUUUUUCUAGUAUUCCUUCCCACUCAAUGAGUGAUAUGCCAAUUAUGAAGGUCUGGUUUAGAGAAUUCCCCCUGCAACUAGAGUGGCUUACCUGGGGGCAGCCCUGGUGAUGCUGUCUCUAGCAACCUGUCCCCCCUCACUGCCUGCAUGAAUCUCCAGCUCACCUAGAAGUUACUGGACUGCUGCCAGCAUUACCCUGACAUAUUAAAUAAAAUCAAAUUUGAAUACUGAUUUACAUUAGCAUGUUACAGUGUAACAACAGGAGUUCCUCUGUUGCUUCACCAAGAACUGACAUUUUGCUGAGCGUCCCUAAGAGAUGGAUGAGUAGGAGGGCUCAUAGCUGAACUCCCACAGCAUCUCAAAGCAAACUGUUCCAGAAUCUGAACUCGAUUCUCAUGGAGGAUGGCUUCCUGCUUUUGAGUGAAUCUUGCAAAGCCUCUUCCAUACUUCUUUUUCACAGGUGCUUUUUUCACAGGUACUGUAAGAAUUAGUUAUUUAAUAGAAAUGCAACGUUCAGAAUGUGCUGUUCUUUCAGUCUUUGCGGUAAUUCAAAGGUUGUCCAUGCUGAGAUUUUUCAGUGGAUUUUUAUUUAUGGGGUUGGUUUUGUGGCACUAAAACCUUACUGCUGCAUCUUGUAUUGGGACCAACAAAAUGGUGAAUAUUUGAGAAAAGCAGCUGGAGAAACUCUCUCACUCUUUGAACCAAACCAUUAGAAUAAUAGCCAUUUUUUCUUUUUGGUUGUCGUUUAUAUCCAUUUAUGGUCGAGGCUCUCUAGAACAGUUCAAUACUUGCCUGUUCACUGUCUGUUAGAAGUCCAUCUCCCCAUACCACCCUUAGCCAUGCUUGCAGUCGUAAGGAUCAGCUGAAGUCCUUCUGUGAGGUUCAUAAAGCUAGGUUGUCCUCUCCUUUUGCUACCAUCUCUGGAGAGAGCUCUGACACACAGCCUAACACAGGACUGUGAUAAAGAGACCUUCCAGACCUCAGGCUGUGUGAUGCUGGCUUGUGGACUGCAUUCCUAGGAUGUGGGUAGAGGGCUCCAUGGAUCUGCACCUUAAAGUUUAACCUUAUCUGUAUAAAGAGAGCUUUCACAAAAAUUUACAUUGUCUAAUUGUCACAGUGAAGACUUUUAAUGUUCAGGUCUUUGCAUAAUAGAUAACUACUGAAUGUAAGUGAAGCAAAUUUACUCUAUAACUACAAUGCAGGGGACUUUCCAGUGUUGACUCAAGUUAUGUCAGUGGUGGUAUGAAUAUUUUCUCAUAGAUCUAUGAACUACUUGAUAGAAAACAACUGACUUGUAAUAUUUUCUAAAUGUUCAGAUUCCUCCUAAAUGAGCUACAUUAACACUGAGACACUGAGAUUAGUUGUCAUUGUUGAGAUGUUGCAAAUGAUCCUUCCUAUGGCUGGUUUAAUUAAAACACCUGUUUUCUAGUUUGUCAUGUCA